CAGCCACACUGGGACUGAGACACGGCCCAGACUCCUACGGGAGGCAGCAGUGGGGAAUUUUGGACAAUGGGGGCAACCCUGAUCCAGCCAUGCCGCGUGAGUGAAGAAGGCCUUCGGGUUGUAAAGCUCUUUCAGCCGGAACGAAAAGGUUACGGUUAAUACCCGUGACUAAUGACGGUACCGGAAGAAGAAGCACCGGCUAACUAGCCAGCAGCCGCGGUAAUACGUAGGGUGCGAGCGUUAAUCGGAAUUACUGGGCGUAAAGCGUGCGCAGGCGGUUUUGUAAGUCAGAUGUGAAAUCCCCGGGCUUAACCUGGGAACUGGUUUGAAACUACAAGGCUAGAGU
rnacentral:rRNA from 1 species